AGAUUUUUGGUUCCACCCCAGAGCAAAGUGAGUGGAGCCAGAGGCUGCAGCAAAACUUUCAGGAGUUAAUAUUGGAGGCCUUUUCCAACCUUAAGGAUUGUCUGAAAUUCAUAAUAAAAAGUGUUUUCUUGUUUCUGA